ACGAGUGGCGGACGGGUGAGUAAUGUCUGGGAAACUGCCUGAUGGAGGGGGAUAACUACUGGAAACGGUGGCUAAUACCGCAUAACGUCGCAAGACCAAAGAGGGGGACCUUCGGGCCUCUUGCCAUCAGAUGUGCCCAGAUGGGAUUAGCUUGUUGGUGAGGUAACGGCUCACCAAGGCGACGAUCCCUAGCUGGUCUGAGAGGAUGACCAGCCACACUGGAACUGAGACACGGUCCAGACUCCUACGGGAGGCAGCAGUGGGGAAUAUUGCACAAUGGGCGCAAGCCUGAUGCAGCCAUGCCGCGUGUAUGAAGAAGGCCUUCGGGUUGUAAAGUACUUUCAGCGGGGAGGAAGGUGUUGUGGUUAAUAACCGCAGCAAUUGACGUUACCCGCAGAAGAAGCACCGGCUAACUCCGUGCCAGCAGCCGCGGUAAUACGGAGGGUGCAAGCGUUAAUCGGAAUUACUGGGCGUAAAGCGCACGCAGGCGGUCUGUCAAGUCGGAUGUGAAAUCCCCGGGCUCAACCUGGGAACUGCAUUCGAAACUGGCAGGCUUGAGUCUUGUAGAGGGGGGUAGAAUUCCAGGUGUAGCGGUGAAAUGCGUAGAGAUCUGGAGGAAUACCGGUGGCGAAGGCGGCCCCCUGGACAAAGACUGACGCUCAGGUGCGAAAGCGUGGGGAGCAAACAGGAUUAGAUACCCUGGUAGUCCACGCCGUAAACGAUGUCUACUUGGAGGUUGUGCCCUUGAGGCGUGGCUUCCGGAGCUAACGCGUUAAGUAGACCGCCUGGGGAGUACGGCCGCAAGGUUAAAACUCAAAUGAAUUGACGGGGGCCCGCACAAGCGGUGGAGCAUGUGGUUUAAUUCGAUGCAACGCGAAGAACCUUACCUGGUCUUGACAUCCACAGAACUUUCCAGAGAUGGAUUGGUGCCUUCGGGAACUGUGAGACAGGUGCUGCAUGGCUGUCGUCAGCUCGUGUUGUGAAAUGUUGGGUUAAGUCCCGCAACGAGCGCAACCCUUAUCCUUUGUUGCCAGCGGUCCGG
rnacentral:rRNA from 1 species